GUGGGCCACACAGGCAAGAAGACGCAGAAGAAGACCAAGUUUCUUUGUCAGCGCCUCUAUCAUCGGGGCCUGAAGAAGAGCUGGAAAAGCUGUUUCCACCUACUGUGGAACCUGCAGGAUCUGCACAGGACUCUCUGUAAUGAGAGACCAGGGAUUGAGUUCUCUCUAUGAUGGGGCUGGUGACCCCAUGACCCCCGUGUACCCUCAGCCUCCCAGUUACAAGCCUUCGGAUUAUGGCAUCACUGUUCCUUCUGAGCAGCUUCAAGGGAAUCCGCCGCCAGUGAUGUCGCAGGAGGAUUCCCCAUUUCCCACGUGGGAGCCCUGGAAUCCCAGCUAUCCAUUGUCAGUUCCACACCUACUUCCUGGCUUUGUCCCAGGAAACCCCAACCUCCAGCAGCCAUGGUCAACCUGUGAU
ensembl:antisense